rnacentral:tRNA from 1 species
GCUUGGGAGACCCUCCAGGUGAGGGUGCCGGGCUGUUACCCCGGUCGUGAGAGGUUCGAAUCCUCUCGGGAGCA